rnacentral:rRNA from 1 species
AGAGUUUGAUCCUGGCUCAGAACGAACGCUGGCGGCGUGCCUAACACAUGCAAGUCGCGCGAGAAAAGGGGGGCAACUCCCUGAGUAAAGCGGCGCACGGGUGAGUAACACGUAGGUAAUCUACCCUCGAGUCCAGGAUAACCCGCCGAAAGGUGGGCUAAUACCGGAUAUGACCACGGGAGUUUCGGCUCCUGCGGUGAAAGGUGGCCUCUGCUUGCAAGCUACUGCUCGGAGAUGAGCCUGCGGGCCAUUAGCUAGUUGGUGAGGUAACGGCUCACCAAGGCGAUGAUGGCUAGCUGGUCUGAGAGGAUGGCCAGCCACACUGGGACUGAAACACGGCCCAGACUCCUACGGGAGGCAGCAGUGGGGGAUAUUGCGCAAUGGGCGAAAGCCUGACGCAGCGACGCCGCGUGGGUGAUGAAGGCCUUCGGGUCGUAAAGCCCUGUCGAGGGGAACGAAACGGUUGCGACCUAAUACGUCGUGAUCUUGACGGUACCCCUAAAGGAAGCACCGGCUAACUCCGUGCCAGCAGCCGCGGUAAUACGGAGGGUGCAAGCGUUGUUCGGAAUCACUGGGCGUAAAGGGCGUGUAGGCGGUCCACUAAGUCUGAUGUGAAAGCCCGGGGCUCACCCCCGGAAGUGCAUUGGAAACUGGUGGACUCGAGUCCCGGAGAGGAAGGUGGAAUUCCUGGUGUAGCGGUGAAACGCGUAGAUAUCAGGAGGAAUACCGGUGGCGAAGGCGGCCUUCUGGACGGUGACUGACGCUGAGACGCGAAAGCGUGGGGAGCAAACAGGAUUAGAUACCCUGGUAGUCG